CUGAUGGACCAAAAGCGCUCUAGCACCCUGCCUUUGCUGAGCCAUCUCACAUUGUUGUGCAGCAAAAGAUCAUCAGCAUUGGCAUCAACUUCUCUGAGGAAUUCCCUAAGCAUGCGAUGCUGGUAGGAAGAGGAUGCCCUGAGAAAAUUUAUCAUUUUCAUCAUUGUAUUCAUCACCUCAGCAUGCUCAUCUGACAGGGAGGCACAGAGGACAGAUUGAUGAAUGAUGCAAUGGUAAGAUAAAAGCUCAGGAUUGUCCCCUUUCAGUCUUGCUACAGCUCCUUUUUCUUUCCCUAUCAUAGAAGGGGCUCCAUCUGUGGUUAUUGAAACCACUUGUUUUGGCUAUAUUCCUCUUUUUGUUAACAUCUCCUUAAUGGCCAGGUAGAUAUCCUCUCCUCUUGUACUGGUCUGAAGGGGAGUGACACCUAACAUGUCUUCACAGAAUGUUUUCUGGGCUGUGUUGAAAAACCUGGCAAACACUAACAGCUGAGCAUUGUCACAUAUGUCAGUGGACUCAUCCACAGCUAAGCCUACACAUGGUGCCUUAUGCAUGGCUUCAUCUAGCUGGGUUAGCACAUCCUGAGUUAAUAUUUCACUUUUCUUUGUGGCAGAUGAUGCUGACAUGGGAAUUUGCUUUAUUUUAUCACAAAGCUCAUUUUUUUAUUUUCCCUCAAGUAGUGUUUCAGCUACUGCACUCAUGCAUUCUUUGACAACCCCUCCAUCUGUAAAUGGCUUUUUGUGUUUACCCAAAAUCCAAGAAACUCUGAGGGAACACUCAAGAGCACGUUGUUGGGCAGUGAAUGUGUUGCUCAGGAUCCUGGUGGACUGAAAUGAGUCUGUCCAUUCUGGAUUAAAUGCUCUGUUUUCAUUGUCCACUUUUCUUUUUUUGGAGAGUGCCAUUUGUUCCUUAUUUUCUCUAACUGUUACCCUUUUUCUGCCUCACUCGUCUGUUUCGCUCCCUUUCUCCGUCUCACUCAUAUUUUCGUCAACUUUCUCCGUCUCACUCGUAUUUUCCUCAGCUUUCUCCGGCACACUCGUCUGUAUCUCUCC